GCGUGGGGGAUGAAGGUCUUCGGAUUGUAAACCCCUUUUAUCAGGGAGGAAGGCUUAAUACUUAAUACGUAUUGAGAUUGACUGUACCUGUUGAAUAAGCCACGGCUAACUCCGUGCCAGCAGCCGCGGUAAUACGGAGGUGGCAAGCGUUACUCGGUUUGACUGGGUGUAAAGGGUCCGUAGGCGGCCUGACAAGUGAAAGGUGAAAUCCUUCGGCUCAACUGAAGAAUUGCCUUUUAAACUGUUAGGCUCGAGGAUGGUAGAGGAAAGUGGAACUGUUGGUGUAAAGGUGAAAUUUGUGGAUAUCAACAGGAACGCCCGUAGUGAAGACGACUUUCUGGACCAUUCCUGACGCUGAGGGACGAAAGCUAGGGGAGCAAACAGGAUUAGAUACCCUGGUAGUCCUAGCCGUAAACGAUGAGCACUAGGUGUUUGUACUUUUAGUAUGGGCGCCGUAGCUAACGCGUUAAGUGCUCCACCUGGGGACUACGGCCGCAAGGCU
rnacentral:rRNA from 1 species